UACAGAGGGUGCAAGCGUUAAUCGGAAUUACUGGGCGUAAAGCGUGCGUAGACGGUUAUGUAAGUUAGGUGUGAAAGCCCCGGGCUCAACCUGGGAAUUGCAUUUAAGACUGCAUAGCUAGGGUGCGGAAGAGGGAAGCGGAAUUUCCGGUGUAGCGGUGAAAUGCGUAGAUAUCGGAAGGAACAUCAGUGGCGAAAGCGGCUUCCUGGUCCAGCACCGACGUUCAGGCACAAAAGCGUGGGGAGCAAACAGG
rnacentral:rRNA from 1 species